CAGCAGCCGCGGUAAUACGUAGGUGGCGAGCGUUGUCCGGAAUUAUUGGGCGUAAAGGGCUCGCAGGCGGUUUCUUAAGUCUGAUGUGAAAGCCCCCGGCUCAACCGGGGAGGGUCAUUGGAAACUGGGAAACUUGAGUGCAGAAGAGGAGAGUGGAAUUCCACGUGUAGCGGUGAAAUGCGUAGAGAUGUGGAGGAACACCAGUGGCGAAGGCGACUCUCUGGUCUGUAACUGGCGCUGAGGAGCGAAAGCGUGGGGAGCGAACAGGAUUAGAUACCCGAGUAGUCCCUGUCUCUUAUAC
rnacentral:rRNA from 1 species